rnacentral:rRNA from 1 species
AAUGGGUCAGCGACUUAUAUUCUGUAGCAAGGUUAACCGAAUAGGGGAGCCGAAGGGAAACCGAGUCUUAACUGGGCGUUAAGUUGCAGGGUAUAGACCCGAAACCCGGUGAUCUAGCCAUGGGCAGGUUGAAGGUUGGGUAACACUAACUGGAGGACCGAACCGACUAAUGUUGAAAAAUUAGCGGAUGACUUGUGGCUGGGGGUGAAAGGCCAAUCAAACCGGGAGAUAGCUGGUUCUCCCCGAAAGCUAUUUAGGUAGCGCCUCGUGAAUUCAUCUCCGGGGGUAGAGCACUGUUUCGGCAAGGGGGUCAUCCCGACUUACCAACCCGAUGCAAACUGCGAAUACCGGAGAAUGUUAUCACGGGAGACACACGGCGGGUGCUAACGUCCGUCGUGAAGAGGGAAACAACCCAGACCGCCAGCUAAGGUCCCAAAGUCAUGGUUAAGUGGGAAACGAUGUGGGAAGGCCCAGACAGCCAGGAUGUUGGCUUAGAAGCAGCCAUCAUUUAAAGAAAGCGUAAUAGCUCACUGGUCGAGUCGGCCUGCGCGGAAGAUGUAACGGGGCUAAACCAUGCACCGAAGCUGCGGCAGCGACACUGUGUGUUGUUGGGUAGGGGAGCGUUCUGUAAGCCUGUGAAGGUGUACUGUGAGGUAUGCUGGAGGUAUCAGAAGUGCGAAUGCUGACAUAAGUAACGAUAAAGCGGGUGAAAAGCCCGCUCGCCGGAAGACCAAGGGUUCCUGUCCAACGUUAAUCGGGGCAGGGUGAGUCGACCCCUAAGGCGAGGCCGAAAGGCGUAGUCGAUGGGAAACAGGUUAAUAUUCCUGUACUUGGUGUUACUGCGAAGGGGGGACGGAGAAGGCUAUGUUGGCCGGGCGACGGUUGUCCCGGUUUAAGCGUGUAGGCUGGUUUUCCAGGCAAAUCCGGAAAAUCAAGGCUGAGGCGUGAUGACGAGGCACUACGGUGCUGAAGCAACAAAUGCCCUGCUUCCAGGAAAAGCCUCUAAGCAUCAGGUAACAUCAAAUCGUACCCCAAACCGACACAGGUGGUCAGGUAGAGAAUACCAAGGCGCUUGAGAGAACUCGGGUGAAGGAACUAGGCAAAAUGGUGCCGUAACUUCGGGAGAAGGCACGCUGAUAUGUAGGUGAAGCGACUUGCUC